GGAUACCUGGUGUGCCAAUCAUGUAUAUCACUCGACGUAAGUACUCAAUUGAACGGUUGCCUGAAGCAACAAUUGGUGGAGCUCCAAGAUACUGAUAAUGCUGAUCUGAUCUUUAGCUAGGGGAAGAGCAUUGGUUUUGUUCCAUUUCUAGUUUUUGGAGAACAUUUGUUAGCUGAGAAUUUAGUGGAGUAGUUCUUUCCCAAUUUUGUAGGAAAUUUUCCCGUUGGAUAUUUAGUUCCAUAUCAUGUAAUUCAAUUUACACUAAAAAUUAGUGAUAUUAAAGCCAUGGAAUGGAACAGUAUACCAUUAUGUAUAGGCACAGGUGGAAUGCUAGUUUGACAAUUGACAUGGGAAAAUACUAACUUGGAUGAGUUUUAUUGUGGUCACAAGAUCAAUAACAAAAAUUGUCUAGUGUUGUGUAA